UACAGAGGUCCCAAGCGUUGUUCGGAUUCACUGGGCGUAAAGGGUUCGUAGGUGGUGGGGUAAGUUUGAUGUGAAAGCUCCGGGCUUAACCCGGAAAUGGCAUUGAAUACUAUCUCGCUUGAGGGUUGGAGGGGAGACUGGAAUUCUUGGUGUAGCAGUGAAAUGCGUAGAUAUCAAGAGGAACACCAGUGGCGAAGGCGAGUCUCUGGACAACUCCUGACACUGAGGCACGAAAGCUAGGGGAGCAAACGGG
rnacentral:rRNA from 1 species